rnacentral:lncRNA from 1 species
GCAUAAGACUUCUCCUUUUCUACCAAGAUCAAUAGAUUCUAUCUAGGUGUAUCCUACUCUAAACAGCGAACUUGAACCUACAAUAGCCAACAUACACAGUAAGGAUCCGAAUGGUUAGGGACCAAAGGAACGUGCAGUUAAACUAUGUAGCCUUGCUGUGAUAGCCAACACACCACAGGUUAAAGGACCAAUCAUACCAC